ensembl:lncRNA
UGGCUGACUAUCUAGGCCACAAAGCUUUCAGGUGGUCUUGGCUGACUCUCUAGGCCACAGAGCUUUCAGGUGGUCCUACCUAACUAUCUAGGCCACAGAGCUUUCAGGUGAUCUUAGCUGACUAUCUAGGCCACAGAGCUUUCAGAUGGUCUUAACUGACUAUCUAGGCCACAGAGCUUUCAGAUGGUCUUAACUAUCUAGGCCACAGAGCUUUCAGGGGGUCUUGGCUGACUAUCUAGGCUACAGAGCUUUCAGGUGGUCCUACCUGACUAUCUAGGCCACAGAGCUUUCAGGGGGUCUUGGCUGACUAUCUAGGCCACAGGCUAAAGUGCUGACCUCUGGGAUUCACUUGGUAGCUACACUGAU